rnacentral:rRNA from 1 species
AUAUCAAUAAGCGGAGGAAAAGAAACCAACAGGGAUUGCCUCAGUAACGGCGAGUGAAGCGGCAACAGCUCAAAUUUGAAAUCUGGCUCUUUCAGGGUCCGAGUUGUAAUUUGUAGAAGAUGCUUCGGGUGUGGCUCCGGUCUAAGUUCCUUGGAACAGGACGUCAUAGAGGGUGAGAAUCCCGUAUGUGACUGGCUGCCUUCGCCCAUGUGAAGCUCUUUCGACGAGUCGAGUUGUUUGGGAAUGCAGCUCAAAAUGGGUGGUAAAUUUCAUCUAAAGCUAAAUAUUGGCCAGAGACCGAUAGCGCACAAGUAGAGUGAUCGAAAGAUGAAAAGCACUUUGGAAAGAGAGUUAAACAGUACGUGAAAUUGUUGAAAGGGAAGCGCUUGCAACCAGACUUGCACGCAGUUAAUCAUCCGGGGUUCUCCUCGGUGCACUUGACUGCGUUCAGGCCAGCAUCGGUUCGGGCGGUGGGAUAAAGGCCUUGGGAAUGUAGCUUCUUUCGGGGAGUGUUAUAGCCCUCGGUGCAAUGCCACCUGUCUGGACCGAGGACCGCGCUUCGGCUAGGAUGCUGGCGUAAUGGUCAUCAGCGA